CCAAUUCUUCUAAAAUUCAAAUCUACUUCCCUCCCCUAAUCUUCUCACUUUUAUCCCAAACCCUAUCACCUAUCUUCAGUGUUUGCUCUCCACACUCUCCCCUAAUCGACUAUUGCAAAAUAUAUUUUUCGAUCACAACACUGUGGAAACCGCCAUCUUCGAUCUUUUACAAUUACCGAUCAUCACCGAUUACGCCUAUUCCCAAGCGUCACUCCAAACUCGUUUUUAAAUGUCUGUUGACAGAAGCAUUAGGUGGUUCUGAUUACGGUAGGAUUUCAAUUGUGUGAGCCGACCAUAAACACCAACACCCAACCGAAAUAAUACCUUGAAGAGCCUCUCUUGCCUUCUUCUCCAGCCCAGCAAACUCGUGAAUCGACAUCAGAUCCUUAAUGGAGAAAGCGAAAAUCGGACUGAUCUUACACCAUUGACUGAUUAGCAACCAAAUGUUAGAGGCCACGGAACACGAACAGAAAAGAUGAACAGCCGACUCAUCGCCUUCAUGCGUCACUCUGAUACAUUAUUUGCUUUACUUUGAUUCUACCUAUUUGAUUAGUGGGUAAAACGUGUUUUAUUUAUGUUUUUCUUUUUUAUUUCUACUACGAUUAAACGCAAUUAAUUUGACCUGUUUUAAUUGGGUCGAUUUUGAUGAUAAAUCCUGGAUCCGUCAUUAGUUGUUGGAUAUGAAAGUGGGAUGCUUAACUUGCUUUGUUUGAUUAUUCAAGGACAAAUAGCCUGCUUCUAAAAUGAAUAGCAGGGAAUUUAUAUGGUUCCGGUUGCACGUAUGAGUUGAAGAUGUCAAUUUGGGUUGCAAGUAUGAAGACACUUGUUCGGGAAGCUAUUGUAUAUCACUUUCAUCUAUAGAAAUACAUGCAUUUUUGUUACUUUGAAACUUUUGUAAUUUUGUUUUACUUUCAAGUCUUUGUAAUUCGUAUUCUUGGGUUAUUCUAUAUUGGUUUUAAUUUAAUUAUGUUUUUUAUUUUU
rnacentral:lncRNA from 1 species